GUGAUGUUUGACUUCCUGUACAGCUGCAAUUCAUGUGGUGAAGGUGCUCCCACAAUGUGGUUGGAGACAGGCUCCAGUGACUUCAUGGGGGCUACAACUCCCACAGUACCUGUGGCAGGGACCGCACGUGUGUGGGGAAACCCUGCACGCUACAUGUGCAGAAUGUGAGCGGGUUUUGGAACAUGUGCUUUGGGGUGCUAGAUGGUGAAGAUUUGCAGACUGAAAUCUCAAAGUCAUGUGCAGAUUGUGAUUAAGUUAACCAGCAUUUGAAGAACCAAAGAUAGAGAAUCACUCCACCAAAAUCCUGCAACACUCUCCCUCCCAGCAUUGUCGGUCUCUCUGCACCAAAUGGACUGUGAAUGGUACAAGACAGCAGCUCACUACCAUCUUCUCAAGGGUAACUAGAGAUGGGGAAUAAAUGCUGGCUGAGCCAGUGAUGCCCAUAUCCUGGAAAUGGUUUCUAUCUCUAGUUGCUGAAACCCAGUUGAUGUUACUGCAGGAUGAUGAGGGAUGCUGAGUGUAUCCUCCAGGAGGCAGCACCAUCACAUUACCCCUGCCUACACCCACACAGUAACACCACAACGUCACUGGAACAAAAGGCAGUAAAACCAAAGGAGGACUUAGAUAUAGUUCUUGAGGUAGAGUCAUGAAAGGGGAUUGGAACACAGCAGGAACAGGAGACUGAGCUGGAUGGUCAGCUGUUUCCCAUUGAAUGGUGGAGCAGGAUUGAAAGGCCGAAUGGCCUCCUGCUGCUAUCUCCCAGGUAUGUAUAUAGCCAUGGAGCCCGGGAAGGAAGGAGUGCGCAGGGAUUCUCCAAGAGAUUGCACUUCCACAACAGGUUUUAGUGAGCGAUGGUUUGAUGGAUUUUAUUUAACAUUUACAAACCUUGUGUUAAAGAUAAAUUUUGGUUUUAAAAUGUUGUGAAAGUUUUUUGAA